UGCAAUGUGAACGCGCUCUUCUUCCUCAGUGCUACGGUCUGUGGGAUGAAGAUGAGCCCAGGUCAGGAGGUCAGACUGCGAGCUCUCAUUCAGACAGUGAAGAGAAAGACGCCUCACCCGUCUCCACACACAUCCGGCUGCCCAGAAAACCCCUCCGACAGAGCUCCAGCGUCUCGCAGCGCUCGGCCCGCUCUAAACCAGGCAGCAGCGGCUCCAGGACGAGUGUGCGUUCACUGAGCGCUCAACUGAAGAGCCGCAAGGAGCUCAUUUUGGACAAGCUCAGAGAACAGCUGAUCAAAGCAAAGCGCUUCACUGUCAAAACGAUUCUGGAUAUCUACAUUCCCAUUC